GGGAGAGGGAGGGAAGGAGGGAGGGAGGGAAGUACAGGACACUUGGGAGAGUGCAAAACCCGUGCUGGAGAGGGAGAGCUUGGCUUUGGAAGUACGGAACUAUCUUGCCAAGGGCUUGCACGUAAGCAUGUUAAAUUUACAAACAGCAAUCAGAAUAAAAGUCACCCCGACAGACAGCAGAAUAGGCCCUAGUAACUGAGUCCACUCCAGCUGCUGGUGAUGCAGGAAGAAAGACUUCUCCUAGAGAAGAGGCAAGCAUCUAUAUUUUUGUGAAUACUUCUCAUAUCCAAAGAACUGCAGUGUUGCAUUUAGAAGCAGAGCAAUGCCAGUGCAGGCAGCAAGGAAGAGAGACCUUAACUUUACUUACAGAAGAUAAGCAAUCCUUACCUCCCACUUUGCCUGUUUAAGUAAGUGUGAAUCAGUAACCAACUUGAUUUGCUCCCUAGCAUUUGUAUG